GGCAAUGCCAGAACCUUAACCCACUGAGCACGGCCAGGGAUCAAACCCGUAACCUCAUGGGUCUUAGUCAGAUUCAUUAACCACUGAGCCAUGAUGGGAACUCCUUGAUUUCCUUCUCAUACACUAUUAGCUCAAUGAAAUAACCCAGACUGGGCUACUUCUCUUGCAAAGUCUCCCAGAGAACUAAGCUCAACUUACUCCAUCCCAAAUACAUUCAAUUUCUCUGCACCCCACCCAUAGCCAUGAAGGAAGAGCUCUGUACCCACUAUCAGGAGAUGCACUGUCGACCCCAGAGCCAGAAGAAGCCCAUAACUCACCUUUCAUCUCUGGCCACUUCCUUAGGGUUCCACCAGCACCACUGGCAACCCCAUCUCUGAGUGUGGAUGUGCCAACACCAGGCAGCAGAUGGACACAACUGGGCUCCUCAUCCUCUAAUAGCCAUUGCCCUUCAGAUCCCAUUCUUCUGCCUCCUGACCCCUCCCAGUUCUGUUUGCACUGCUCUUGAGCACCUGUGAGCCUGAUCUGAUUCUCUUCUGUCUCUGUCUCGCACUCUUUCUCCCUCUCUCAGAAAAAUCCAGGGCCUUACAGAGGCGCUAUCUCUCGCUCAAUAGCUCCCAUAUCCCAGCAUGCUCCCUAUCUGUCAGCACUCCUGUGAGCCCAUCAGCUGAACACACUUCAGGUCAGGGAACAGGCUUUAGAUUCCCCCACACCCCAUCCAUCAUGCAUUGCCAAGCCUCAUUUUAUGUUUCCUGGCUUGAAGGUAAGUUUUUUCCCCUCAGACGUGCACAAAAUCAGGGAGAGGCUCAGGUGAAAGGAAGAUGCAGAACUUUUCAGAGACUCCUCAAGAGACUGGUCCCUGGAGUGGACCCAGCCUGUCCUCCAGAGGCCAAACACCGUACAAGCCUACCUCUGCAAAACCACAUGCCCAGGACCCAAGGCAACAGCCCAGUUUCAGAGUUCCACUCCUCUAUAAUCCCAAGGCAGUUGGAACCCCAAGGCCUGUCCUUUAAUGUGGGCCUUGGGCUAACUGUGAUGCCCUAAAGUUACCCAGGUGUGGGAAGGUGGAACAAUUUCCCUUUAACCAUGGCAGCCAGUUGGGCCUGGAGAGGCAAUUGUGGGAUGUAGGAACCCCUUCUUGCUGGACACCCUCUGGGGAAUCCACUAUCCCCAUCUCCAGCCACCUCUCUGAGCCUAGAAGUGCCCAUACCAAGCAGCUGCUGAGCUUGGGUGAGUUUUUGCGCCCUCUGGCGGGCAUUCUCUCUAAUGACAACUCAGAGCCCUGUCUCCUCCCUCCUCCCUCCCCCUCCUUCCUCUGGAAAAACCCAUGGAGGGCCCUGGACCUGUGCAUCAGAGAGCAGAUUUAGUUCCUCCUCUCACUCUAAGAACAACCAAGCACCUUUAAGAGGGCAGUUUUUUCUUCCCCUCAGUGCCAGUCAUGGCACUCACUCCUCCCAAUCCUUCACUGUUCUCAUUAGUCAGUGAGCUGAGCCCUCUAUGAAACGGGUCACCAUUUUGAAAGUAAUCAGCCUCCCUUCCUAAUUUCUGUGACCUGGCUUGAGGUCAGAUUUUCCCUUUCAGGGGUGAACGAGAGGAGGGAGAGGCACAAAUGAAAGGAGAAGAAGAAACUUUUCAGAGAGACCAGUCUGUGAGUUGGUUGCAGCCUUCCCAGGAGGGAACCUCUGCUUUUACACUCUCCAUGCAUGACCAACAGCAGCCCGGCUUUCUGAACCCCAAACCCCAUGCAAGUCUGAUCCUAGAACACUGCCUGCCCAAUAUUCAAGCUGACUCCACUUCUGUUCACUUGUCUGCCUCUGCAGAAUCCAGAGGCUGUCUGAGCUCAUGACAGCCUGCCCCACUAUGCGGACUUUGGGCUACACAAGCUGUCUGAAAGCGACACACAGAUGUGAAGGCAGAAAAGUGUCCUUCCCGUUAGGUGAGGUCAUUUAGAUUGGACAGGCAGAGGUGACCAAUAAAAUAGCCCUCCUCUCAAGGUUCAUCCCAGGCAACAAUCCACCACCUCCACCAUUACCAACACCCCCUGCCUGACCAACUCCAACCCCAUCUCUGGGCUGGGAAAUGCCAAUGCCAAGCAGCUGCUGGGCUCUGCCACUGCUCUGGUGCCCUCUGGUGGCCGUGCUCUCUAUGACGACUCAGAGUCCUUGCUCCAGCCUCCUGACCAAACCCAUGGCUGGACUGCCCUUGGUUUGGGCACCUGACAGCUGAUUUCUCUACUACUCCCACUAUUUCCCCACUAAGCAGCACCGUGUAUCUUACAAGAGGGCGAGGUGUCUCUCUCAACAUCCCCCAGCCCACUACUUCCUCCGUGUUCUACUCCAGUCAUUCACCUCCAUCUGCCAAUCAGACUUCAAGUCAGGCAAGCUGGAAAUUCAUCUGCCUGCCUUAAUAUUCAUUUCGGCUACUGUUCAAUUUUCCAGGGUAACUGCCAGAGAAAAUUGGCUUAGGGCAAAAAAAUGUAAAAGGAACUCUGUGGAGAAACUUCAGAGAUAGAUCCCAGGGAUGAGAACAGCCUGGCCAGCCACAAACCCCCUUCUACACCCUCCAAUCAGGUCCACGAGCACUGCGUUCCAGAUGCCACAUCGGACAAAAUCCUGGCUCUCAAGAACUGCAUGCUCAAGAUUCAAACCAAAUACUUUUUGAUUCAUGGCUAUUCCAUCAGAGAAUCCAAAGGCAUUAAGACCACGGAUAGCUGGUCACAUCAUUGGGACUUAGGGCUCUGUGAGCAGUAGGAAACAACCCCUAACCAUGAAGGAAGAGCUCUGUACCCACUAUCAGGAGAUGCACUGUCAACCCCAGAGCCAGAAGAAGCCCAUAACUCACCUUCCAUCUCUGGCCACUUCCUUGGGGUUCCACCAGCACCACUGGCAACCCCAUCUCUGAGUGUGGAUGUGCCAACACCAGGCAGCAGAUGGACAUGGCAGGGCUCCCUGUCCUCUAGUGGCCAUUACCUACACCAGCCCUUCAGAUCCCAGUCUUCUGCCUCCUGACCCCUCCCGGUUCUGUUUGCACUGCUCUUGAGUACCUGUGAGCCUGAUCUGGUCCUCUCCUGUCUCUGUCUCGCACUCUUUCUCUCUCUGUCAUGAAAAUCAAAGACCUUACGGAGAGUGCUAUUUCUCUCUCAAUAUCUCCCAUAUCCCAGCACGCUCCCUAUUUGUCAGCACUCCUGUGAGCCCAUCAGCUAAACACACUUCAGGUCAGGGAACAGGCUUUAGAUUCCCCCACACACCACUCAUCCCACUUUGCCAGGCCUCAUUUUAUGUGACUUGGCUUUAAGGUAAGAUUUUCCCUCAGGGGUGCACAAAAGGAGGGAGAGGCUCAGAGGAAAGGAAAACACAGAACUUUUCAGAGAAGCCCUCAAGAGACUGGUCCCUGGAGUGGACCUAGCCUGCCCUCCAAAGGACCUCUGCUUUAACAGUCUCCACUGACCACCACCAGCUAGGCUCUCCAGAGGCCAAACACCGUGCAAGCCUAACUCCACAAAACCACAUGCCCAGGACCCAAGGCAGCUUCCCUGUUUCAGAGUUCCACUUCUCCAUCAUCCCAAGGCAGUUGGAACCCCAAGGCCUGUCCUUUAAUGUGGGCUUUGGGCUAGCUCUGCCAAUGCAAAUUGACCAAUGUGUGGGAAGGUGGAACCCUUUCCCUUUUACCACGGGAGCCAAUUUGGCCUGGAGAGGCAAUUGCAGGCUGUAGGCAAUGCCUUCUGACCUGGACACCCUCUGGGGAAUCCUCCAUCCCCAUCUCCAACCACAUCGCUCAGCCCAGAAGUGAAGAGAUUUGGCGCCCUCUGGUGGACAUUCUCUCUAAUGACAACUCAGAGCCCAGCCUCCUGCCUCCAGCCCAAACCAUGCCCUGGUGCUGUGCACCGGAGAGCGGCCUCUCACUCUAAGAACAACCAAGCACCUUUAAGAAGGCAUUUUCCCCCCUCAGUACUAGCCAUGGCACUCAAUCCUCCCAGUCCUUCACCAUGCUCAUAGUCAGUGAGCUGAGUCCACUCUGAAUUGGGUAAUCAUUUUUUAAAGUAAUCAGUCUCCCUUCUUAAUUCCUGUGACCUGGCUUGAGGUCAGAUUUUUCUUCUCAGGGGUGAAUGAGAGGAGGGAGAAGUUCUGAUGGAAAGAAAAGAAGUUUUUCAGAGAGACAAGACUGUGUUGAACGCAGCCUGCCCAGCAGGGAACCUCUGCUUUUACACCCUCCAUGAACCACCACCAACAGCCCAGCUUUCCAAACUCCAAACACCAUGCAAGUCUGAUCCUAGAACACUGCCUGCCCAAUAUUCAAGCCGACUCCACUUCGGUUCACUUGUCUGCCUCUGCAGAAUCCAGAGGCUGUCUGAGCUUGUGACAGCCUGCCCAACUGUCUGGACUUUGGGCUACCCAAGCUGUCUGAAAGUGACCCCCAGGUGUGAAGGCAGAAAUGUGUCCUUUCUGUCAGGUGAGGUCAUUUACAUUGGUCAGUCAGAAAUGGCCCAUAACAUAGCCCUCCUUUGAAGACAGGUCCCAGGAAAUCUGCAAGCACCACCUCAACCACCACCAUCAUCACCAACACCCCUCGGCCAAGCAACACCAACCCUAUGUGUGGGCUGGGAAAUUCCAAUCCCAGCAGCUGCUGGGCUCUGCCACUGCUCUGAUGCCCUCUGGUGACAACUCAGAGCCCUUCCUCCAGCCUCCUGACCAAACCCAUGGCUAGACUGCCCCCAGUUUGUGGGCCUGACAGACAAUCCCUCCUACUCUCACUCUGAGAACCACCACAUACCUUAUACAGGAGGGUGAGGUGUCUCAGCGUCUCCCAGCUCACUCCUUCCUCCCUAUCCAACAGCGCUCAGCAACCUCCCUCAGCCAAUCUGACAAGUCAGGCAACCAGCUGGAAAUUCAUCUGCCUGCCCUAAUACAUGUGACCUAGUUUUAGCUAAUGUUCACUUUUCUGGGGGGUAACUGUCAGAAAGCAGUGGCUCAGGGAGAAAAAGAAAAGGAAACUCUGUGGAGACAUUUCAGAGAUAGAUCCCAGGGAUGAGAACAGCCUGGGCAGCCACAAACCCCUUCUACACCCUCCAAUCAGGUCCACAAGCACUGUGUUCCAGAUGCCACCCCAGACAAUAUCCUGACUCUCAUGAACUGCAUGCCCAAGGUUCAAACCAAAUACUUUUGGUUUCAAGGCUAUUCCAUUGGAGACUCCAAAGGCGUUCAGACCACAGACGGCCGGUCAUAUCAUCUGCUCUUAGGGCUCCGUGAGCAGUAUGGAAAUGACCCGAAGCCAUGAAGGAAGAGCUCUGUACCCACUAUCAGGAGCUGCAUUGUCACCAAGAGUCUAAAGGAGUCCUUAAUUCACCCCCUCCUCACUGGGCUCAAACUUGGGGUUCUGGCAGUGCCACUGGAAAACCCGUCUCUGAGUGUGGAAGUGCCAACACCAGGCAGCAGAUGGGCAUGUCAGGGCUCCUUGUCCUCUAGCAGCCAUUAUCUACACCAGCCCUUCAGAUCCCAUUCCUCUGCCUCCUGAUCCCUCCAGGUUCUGCUUGCACUGCCCUUGAGUACUUGUGAGUGUGAUUUGGUCCUCUCCCCCACCCCUCUCUCUCAGAAAAAUCCAGGGCCCUACGGAGGGUGCUGUUUCUCUCUCAAUAUCUCCCAUAUCCCAGCACGCUCCCUAUCUGUCAGCACUCCCUUGAGCCCAUCAGCUAAACACACUCCAGGUCAGGGAACAGGCUUUAGAUUCCCACACCCCACCCCACCCCCACAUCCCAAUUUGCCAGGCCUUAUUUUAUGUGACCUGGCUUUAAGGUAAUAUUUUCCCUCAGGGGUGCACAAAAGGAGCGAGAGGCUCAGAUGAAAGGAAAAUGCAGAACUUUUCAGAGACCCCUCAAGAGACUGAUCACUGGGAUGGACCUAGCCUGCCCUCCAAAGGCCUUCUGGUUUUACACUCACCACUGGCCACCACCAGCUCUCUAGAGGCCAAGCACCAGCAAGCCUUACUCUUGAAAACCACAUGCCCAGGACUCAAGGCAGCUUCCCUCUGAAACAGGAAGCUGUCCUUUAAUGUGGGCUUUGGGUUAGAGGAGAUGCACUAAGGGACCCAGGUGUGGGAAGGUGGGACGCUUUCCCUUUCAGUGCAGAAGCCAAUCUGGCCUGGAGAGGCAGUUGCAGGGUGUAGGCAAUGCCUUCUGACCAAGCAUCUCCAACCACAUCUCUGAGCCUGGAAGUGCCCAUACCAAGCAGCUGCUGAGCUUGAGUGGUGCUUUGGCGCUGUCUGGUGGACAUUCUCUCUAAUGGCAACUCAGAGCCCUGCCUCCUGCCUCCUGACCAAAACCAUGGACUACCCUGGACCUGUGCACCAGACAGCAGACUUAGUUCCUCCUCUCACUCUAAGAAUAACUAUGCACAUUUAAGAGAGCUGUUUUUCCCUCCGUGCCAGCCAUGGCACUCACUCCUCCCAAUCCUUCACCAUUCUCAUUAGUCAGUGAGCUGAGCCUAUUCUGAAUCAGGUAACCAUUUUUAAAUUAAUCAGCCUCCCCUCCUGAUUUAUGUGACUUGGUUUGAGGUCAGAUUUUUCCUCUCAGGGCUUAACAAGAGGGGGGGGAGGCUCAAAUGAAAGGGAAAGAGGAAGCUUUACAGAGAGAUAAGUCUGUGUGUUGGAUGCAUCCUGCCCAGCAGGGAACCUCUGCUUUUACACCCUCCAUGAAACCACCACCAACAGCUCAGCUUUCCAAACCCCAAACACCACGCAAGUCUGAUGCUAGAACAUUGCUGCCCAAUAUUCAAGCCAACUCCACUUGGGUUCACAGGUCUGCCUCUGCAGAAUCCAGAGGCUGUCUGAGCUUGUGACAGCCUGCCCAACUGUCUGGACUUUGGGCUACCCAAGCUGUCUGAAAGCGACCCACAGAUGUGAAGGCACAAAAGUGUCCUUUCUGUCAGGUGAGAUCGUUUAGAUUGCAGAGUCAGAGGUGACCCACAAACUAGCCCUCCUCUGAAGGCACGUCCCAGGAAGUCUACCACCGCAACCACAACCAUCAUCACCACACCAACACCUACCACCCGCCCUACCAACUCAAAUCCCAUCUCUGGGCUGAGAAAUGCCAAUCCCAAGCAGCUGCUGAGCUCUCUCCCUGCUCUCGAACCCUCUGGCAGCCACUUUCUAUAAUAACAACUCAGAGCCCUUCCUCCUGCCUCCUGAACAAAGUCAUACCUGCACUGCCCUUGAUUUGUGCACCUGACAGCCAGUUUCCUUCCUAGUCUCUAAGAAGGACCAGGUGUCCUACACAAGGACCAGGUGUCCUACACAAGGUGAGGUAUCUCUCUCAACAUCUCUCAGCUCACUCCUUCCUCCCUGUCCGAUUCCACUGGUCCACAUCCAUCAGCUAAUCAAACAUCAAGUCAGCCAAUUAGCUGGAAAUUCAUCUACCUGCCUUAAAAAUGAGACCUAGUUUCGACUACUGUUAAAUUUUCUAGGGGUAACUGCCAGAAAGCAGUGGCUCAGUGAGACAAAUAAAAAGUCAGGCUGUGGAGACAUUUCAGAGAUAGAUCCCAGUGAUGAGAACAGCCCGGCCAGACACAAAUCCCCCUUCUACACCCUCCAGUCAGGUCCACGAGCACUGCUUUACAGAUGACACAGCAGACAAAACAGGAGUCUCAGGAAUUGCAUGCCCCACGUUCAAAAAAAUACUACUGGAUUGAGUGCUACACCACUGGAAAAUCCAAAGGCAUUCAGACCAUCGAUAAUCAGUCACAUCGUCUGGUCUUAGGGCUCCAUGACCAGUAUGGAAAUGACCCCUAGCCAUGAAUGAAGACCUCUGUACCCACCUCAGGAGAUGGAUUGUUAACCUGAGAGUCAGAAGAGGCCAUAACUCACCUUCCCUUGCUGGGCACAACCUUGGGGUUCCACCAGUACUACUGGCAACCCCAUCUCUGAGUGCGGAAGUGCCAACACCACGCAGCAGAUGGGCACAACUGGGCUCCUCGUCCUCUAACGGCCAUUGCCCAUACCAGCCCUUCAGAUCCCAUUCUUCUACCCCCUGACCCCUCCCGGUUCUGUUUGCACUGCCCUUGAGCACCUGUGAGCCUGAUCUGGUCCUCUCCUGUCUCUCUCACUUUUUCUCCCUCUCUCACAAAAAUCGAGGGCCUUACAGAGGUGCUAUUUCUCUCUCAAUAUCUCCCACAUCCCGGCACGCUUGCUAUCUGUCAGCACUCCUGUGAGCCCACUGGCUGAACACACUUCAAGUCAGGAAACAGGCUUUAGAUUCCCCCACAUGCUGCUCAUCCCACUUUGCCCAGACCUUAUUUUAUAUGACCUGCAUUUAAAGUAAGAUUACCCCUCAAGCACGCAUAUGAAGAGGGAGAGGCUCCGAUGAAGGAUAAUGCAGAAGUUUUAAGAGACCCUCUCAAGAGACAGGUCCUUUGAAUGGACCCAGCCUGCCCUCCAAAGGACCUCUGCUUUUACCUUCUCCACUAAAGACCACCAGCCCAGCUCUCCAGAGGCCAAACACCAAGCAAGCCUGACUCUCGCAAACUACAUGCCAAGUUCUAAAGGAAACUGCUUGAGUUUCAGAUUUCUACUUCUCCACAAGCCCAUGGCAGUCUGAUCUGAAGACCUGUCCUUUAAUGUGGGCUUUGGGCUAGCUAUGCCACCCCAAAGUGACCCAGAUUUGGGAAGGUGGAACAAUUUCCCUUUCACCUGGGGAGCCUGUUUGGGCUGGAGAAGAAGUUGCAGGCUGUAGGAACCCCUUCUUACCAGACACCCUCUGGGGAAUCCUCCAUCCCCAUCUCCAACCACAUCGCUGAGCCUGGAAGUGCCCAUACCAAGCAGCUGUGAGCUUGUGUGGUGCUUCGGUGCCCUCUGGCGGACAUUCUCUCUAAUGGCAACUCAGAGCCCUGCCUCCAGCCUCCUAUUUCCUGCCCAAACCCAAGGACUGCCCUGGGCCAGUGCACCAGACAGCUGACUUAGUUCCAUCCCUCACUCUUAAGAACAACCAAGAGCUUUUAAGAGGGUGUGUUUUUCCCUCAAUGCCAGCCAUUCACUCCUCCCAGUCUUUCACCAUUCUCAUUAGUCAGUGAGCUGAGUCCACUCUGGAAACAGGUUACCAUUUUUCAGUUAAUCAGCCUUCCUUCCUAAUUUCUGUGACCUGGCUUCAGGUCAGAUUUUCCCUCUCAGGGGUGAACAAGAGGAGGGAGAGGCUCAAAUGGAAGGAAAAGAACAAAAUUCUCAGAGAGACAAGUGUGUGUGUUGCACACAGCCUACCUGGCAAGGAACUUCUGCUUUUACACUCUCCAUGAACAACAUCAUGGCUUUCCAAACCCCAAAUUCCACGCAAGUCUGAUCCUAGAACACUGCCUGCCCAAUAUUCAAGCCGACUCCACUUCUGUUCACUUGUCUGCCUCUGCAGAAUCCAGAGGCUGUCUGAGCUCAUGACAGCCUGCCCCAUUGUCUGGACUUUGGGCUACACAAGCUGCCUGAAAGUGACCCCCAGGUGUGAAGGCAGAAAAGUGUCCUUUCUGUCAGGUGAGAUCAUUUAGAUUGCAGAGUCAGAGGUGACCCAUAAACUAGCCCUCCUCACAAGGCACAUCCUGGGAAAUCUAUCACCAUCACCACCCCCACUUCCACCCCUCGGCCCAACCAAUUCAAACCCCAUGUCUGGGCUGGGAAAUGCCAAUCCCAAGCAGCUGCUGGGCUCUGCUGCUGCUCUGGCGCCCUCUCAUGGCCACUCUCUCCAAAAACAACUCGGAGCCCUUCCCCCUGCCUCCUGACCAAACCCAUGCCUGGACUGCCCUCCCUUUGUGCACCUGACAGCCGAUUUCCCUCCUACUCUCACUCUAAGAGCCACCACGUGCCUUACACGAGAGUGUGCGGUGUCUCUCUCAACCUCUCCCAGUUCACUCCUUUCUCCCUGUACAACUGCACUCUUCUACCUCCAUCGGCCAAUCUGACUUCAAGUCAGGCAACCAGCUGGAAAUUCAUCUGUCUGCCUCAAUUCACAUGACCCAGUUUUGGCUACUUUUCAAUCUCCCGGGGGUAACUGCCAGAAAAAAGUGGCUUAGGGAGAAAAAAAAAAAAAAAGGACCUCUGUGGAGAAAUUCCAGAGAUAGAUCCCAGGGAUGAGAAUAGCCUGGCCAGCCACAAACCCCCUUCUACACCCUCCAAUCAGGUCCACGGGCACUGCUUUCCAGAUGCCACAAGGACAACAGCCUGACUCUCGAGGACUGCAUGCCCAAGUUUCAAACCAGGUAUUUUUGGAUUCAAGUCUACACCCUUGGUGAAUCCAAAGGUAUUCAGGCUACGGUUAGCUGGUCCCAUUGUCUGGUCUCAGGGCUCCAUGAACAGUAUGGAAACAACCUCUAGACAUGAAGGAAGAGCUCUGAUCCCAUUGUCAGGAUAUGCAUAGUCGAUCCAAGAGUCAGAAGAAGCCCAUAACUCACCUUCUAUCGCUGGGCUUAUCUUUGGGUUUCCACCAGCGCCAUUGGCAACCCUGGCAUCUCUGAGUCUGGACUUGCCAACACCAAGCAGAAGAUGGGCUCAUUGUUGUCUAGCAGCCAUUAUCCAUACCAGCCCUUCAGAUCCCAUUCUUCUGCCUCCUGACCCCUCCCAGUUCUGUUGGCACUGCUCUUCAGCACUUUGGGCCUGACUUGGUCCUCUCUUCUUCAUCUCUGUCUGUCAGAAAAAUAAGGGCAGCCUUAGGGCUCCAUUACCAGCUCAAGUGAAAGGAAAAUGCAGAACUUUUCAGAGAUCCCUCAAGAGAUUGGUCUCUGGGAUGCACCCAACCUGCCCACCAAAGGACCUCUGCUUUUACACUCUCCACUGAUGAACGCCAGCCCAGCCAUCCCGAGGCCAGUUUGGCCUGGAGAGGCAGUUGCAUGCUAUAGGCAACCUCCGGUGGGACACUCCUGGGGGAUCCACCAUCCCCAUCUCCAACCAAGUCUCUGAGCCAAUACAAGCUUCUGCAGAGCUUGGAUGGCGCAUUGGCGCCAUCUAGUGGACAUUCUUUCUAAUGACAACUCAGAGCCCUGCCUCCUGCCCAAACCCAUGGGCUGCCGUGGUCCUGUGCACCAGAAAGAGGAUUUAAUUCCUCCUCUCAAUCUGAGAACAACUAAGAGCUUUUAAGAGGGUGCGUUUUUCCCUCAAUGCCAGCCAUGGCACUCACUCCUCCCAAUCCUUCACUAUUCUCCUUAGUCAGUGAGCUGAGCCUAUUCCGAAUCAGGUAACCAUUUUUAAAGUAAUCAGUCUCCCUUUCUAACUUAAGUGACCUGGCUUUCAGUCAGUGUUUCCUCUCAGGGAGUCAGAUUUUUCCUCUCAGGGCUUAAUGAGAGGAGGGUGAGGCUCACAUGGAAGGAAAAAAAAAAAAACUUUUCAGAGAGACAAGUCUGUGCGUUGGAUGCAUCCUGCCCAACUAGGAACCUCUGCUUUUACAGUCUCCAUGCAGGACCAACAAAGGCCCAGCUUCUCAAACCCCAAACACCAGACAAGGCCAAUCCUGAAACACUCCCUGCCCGAUAUUCACACGAAUUCUUGAACCCGAACUCUUGAGCUGUGGUAAAGUAACCCCGAUCAGCUGCUGGGCUCUGCUGGUACUCUGCCUGCAGCCUACCAGCCAUGGUCUCCAAUGACGAGUCACAAUCCUUCCCCUGCUUCCUGACCAAACCCAUGGAUGGACCACCCUGUCUUGGUGCACCCGACAGCUGGCAUCCAUCCUCCUUCUCUUCUGAGAACUGCCGUGUGCUUGCUUUCCAGAGGGUGGUGUUUCUCUCUCCAAGCCUCCCAGAGCCCUCAUCCUCCUUCUCCCCCUUCCUCUCCCACGCUGUCGUUCUAUGUCCAUCAGCUGAUCCCACUUGCAGUCAGGUCUGCCAGCUGGACUUUCAUCUGCCUUCCUGCCUUAAAACAGGAGACCCCCAUUUCAGCUCAUGUUCUUCCCUCGGGGUGAACCACAGGAAGUGCAUAGAAAAAGAAAAGGGAGACCUAGGGGAAAAUUUCCAAGCCAGACCCCAGUGAGGAGGACAGCCCGGCCAGCCACACCCUCUGCUUCCACACACCCUCCAUGCCCGUCCACAAGCUCUGCUUUUUCCCCAACCAAGGCCUGCCUGGAGAAAACUGCAUACCCAACCUUCAGGACAAAUGCCUUUGCCUUCUGGGUUGUGCCGCGGGAACAUCCAAAGGCAUUCAAGACCCCAGACAGCCUUUCAGAGCAUGUGGUCUUUGGGCUUUGGGCUCAGCAGGGAUGAGACCCCUAUUUGAGAAGGAAGAACUCUGUACCCACCCUCAGGAGAAGUAUUUGGGACCCGAGAGUCAGAAGUAACCUGUCACUCACUGUUUACCCGUGGGGCAUGUCCCUGGGGGUUCCGCCAGCGCCCAUCUCCCACUCCAUGUCUGAGGCUGGAAGCACCACCAAGCAGCAGAUGGGCCACAGCAGUGCUCUUCAUCCCCUAGCAGCCCAUAGCUCUGCCAACAUUUCAAACUCCAUCCUUCUGCUUCCUGCUGCCACCUGAUUUUGUUUUGCUCGGCCUGUGAGCGCCUGAGUUCCUGCUUUCUUACGUCUCUCUCAGAGUAAUUAAGAGCCUUACGGAGGUGGGGUUUUUUUCUGUUUCAAAGCUUCCCACAGCCCUCACACCCCCUAUCUGUCAGCACUGCUUGAAGUCAAUCACCAGGAAAAACUCCAACUCAGGUGAGCGACUUUCAAUGAUUCUAACACCACCAAGCCUCAGGCAGCCUCUUCGCAGCUCCUUAUUUUAGGUCACCUGGCUUUAGGUUAAGAUUAUCCCCUCAGGGGUGCAUGAAAAGACCAAGUGAUGCUGAUAAAAGAAAAAUGAGUAGGUUUUCAGAGAUCCCUUAAGAGACCAGUCACAGGGAAGGGCACAGCCAGCAAAGGACCUCUGCUUUUACACUCUCCAUUCACAGCCAUUAGCCCAGCCCUCCUGAGGCCAAGCUCCAAGUAAGCCCAACUCUGGAUAACUGCAUGCCGAUACUCAAGCCCAUGGCUUCCUUGUGGUUUAUGAAUUCUGCUUCUGGAGAGACCAGAGGCAGUCAGAACCCUGAAGGGCUGUCCAAUGGUGGGCACUUUGGGCUGCCUGAGCCCCCAGACAGUGACCCAGAGGUGUGAAGUGAGCAACCUAUCCCUUUGACGUGGUGAGCCAGUGGCGGCCAGGCACCUACCCGUCCUUGCCGGAAAUCUGCCAGGGGAGACACCGUCCACAUCUGGAACCAAAUCUGAGCCCAAAAGCGCCAAGCCAACAUGGCUAGUGCUUCAGCACCCUCUUGUGGCCAUUCUCUCUAAUAGCAACGCAGAGCACCCUUCCACCUCCUGAACCAACCCAUGGGAUGCACUGGGCUUGUUACCUGAUUGCUGAUUUCAUUCCUCACCUCCCUCUAAGAACAACCAAGUGCCUAACGGGGGUGGGGGUGGAGGGGAUUCUGUCUCCUGGUCGUCAGGGCAGUCACUCCCCCCUAUACUUCACCACGCCUCUCAUCAAUGCGCCAAGCCCAUUCCAUGUCCAGUAACCAGCUUGAAAUCAAUCAACCUCCACUCUUACUUUGUGCGACUUGGCUUGAGGUGAAUGAAAGAAGGGAGAGGCCCAGAUGGAAGCAAAAAGGCUCUUCUCGAGAACCCUCAAGAGACGGGUCUGUGGGGGAGGGACGCAGCCUGCCCACCGAGUGAUUCUGGUCUGCUUUGACACUCCCCCUUCAUGACCUCCCAUCAGCUUUCCUGAUGCCAAAGGUCAGGUGAGCCUGAUCCUGGAACACUGCAUGCUCAGUAUUCAAGCCAAGUAGCUCUGGCUUGGGAUUUCUGCCUCUGCAGAACCCAGAGGCAGUCAGAAAGGUGACUGCCUGGGAGUGUCCGGAUGUGGUGCUGCAGGAGCUGUCUGAAUGUGACCCACAGAGGUGAAGGCAGAACCAUGUGCUUCUAUCAGGUGACCUCGUUUUGACCCCAGAGUUGGGGGCAACCUGUAACCUAGCCCUGCUCACCAGGCAUGGCCUGGGCAACCGCCAUCUCAAAUCCCACCUCUGAGCUGGGAUAAGCUAACACCAGUCAGCUGCUGGGCUCUGCUGGGUCUCUGCUUGCCCUCUGGAGGCCAUAGUCUCUAAUGAGGAUUCAUAGCCCUUCCUCCUGCUUCCUGACCAAACCCAUGGAUGGACCACCCUUGCCUGGUGCACCCAACAGCUGGCAUCCAUCCUACUCUCCCUCUGGGAACCGCCAUGUGCUCACUUACAGAGGGUGGUGUUUCUCUCUCCAAGCCUCCCAGGACUCUUGCCCUCAUUCUCCCCCUCCCUCUCCUAUAGCAUUAUUCUAGAUCCAUCAGCUGAUCCCACUUCAUCAGGUCCACCAACUGGAAAUUCAUCUGCCUUCCUGCCUUAAGACAGGAGACCCCAUUUCAGCUCAUGUUCUUCCCUCAGGGUGAACCACAGGAAGUUCUAGACAGUGUGCAUAGAAAAAGAAAAGGGAGACCUAGGGGAAAAUUUCCAAGCCAGACCCCAGUGAGGAGGACAGCCCGGCCAGCCACACCCUCUGCUUCCACACACCCUCCAUGCCCGUCCACAAGCUCUGCUUUUUCCCCAACCAAGGCCUGCCUGGAGAAAACUGCAUACCCAACCUUCAGGACAAAUGCCUUUGCCUUCUGGGUUGUGCCGCGGGAACAUCCAAAGGCAUUCAAGACCCCAGACAGCCUUUCAGAGCAUGUGGUCUUUGGGCUUUGGGCUCAGCAGGGAUGAGACCCCUAUUUGAGAAGGAAGAACUCUGUACCCACCCUCAGGAGAAGUAUUUGGGACCCGAGAGUCAGAAGUAACCUGUCACUCACUGUUUACCAGCGGGGCAUGUCCCUGGGGGUUCCGCCAGCGCCCAUCUCCCACUCCAUGUCUGAGGCUGGAAGCACCAACACCAAGCAGCAGAUGGGCCACAGCAGUGCUCUUCAUCCCCUAGCAGCCCAUAGCUCUGCCGACAUUUCAAACCCCGUCCUUCUACCUCCCGAUGUCACUUGAUUUUGUUUUGCACAGCUCACCAAUGCCUUUGAUCCUGCUUUCAUACUUCUCUGUCUCUCAGAAAAAUUAAGAGCCUUACGGAGGGGGCAAGCGUUUUCCCUCUCAAAGCCUCCCGCAGCCCUCACUGCUCCCUGUCAGCACUGCUUGAAGUCAAUCACCAGGAAAAACUCCAACUCAGGUUCUGGUGUGAUGUCUUGAAGGCCCUGACCUAGAAGCCUCAGCCUGGGCCUCAGAGGGGCUGGCACUGGUAGUCAGAAGGUUUGCAUCUGGACAAGGAACAGGAUAGACUCACUACUCAUCUAUUAGUAAACAAAUAUAGUGCAAGCUUAGUUUUUUUAUUGUGUAGAUUUAGGAUUAGUUUCUGAUAUAUGUUCUACAAUUGGUAUGUAAGAUUUUUGUAUUAAAUAUUUUUCUAUCAAUUUGCUUUUUAAAUAUUUUUCUAUAAAAUAAAUUGCAUAUGUAGAAAAGCCCCCUAAACUUAGGUAAAACUUAAUGAUUUGGUAUCAGGCAGUUACCUUAGUGUCUACCCCCAAGAUCACCCACUCUCCUAUCAUCCUCAUUUGGAGUUGACUUAAGAAGGGGACUAUGAAUUUAGUACUUUCCAUCUGCCCUAUGUCAGUGUGUUUUUAAGGAUCCUGUUGUCUGAAAUGUGUUAAUUCUUUUGAUCGUGGGAACAUCAUCCUCGAUCCUUCAUGAUGACAUGAAUGUCAGGGUCUUUGACACCCAGUCACUCACCUGAUAUAAAAUCCAUGACUCACCAUUUCUCUCCUCAGUGUCUCUAACAUAUUGCUCUUAAUUUCUUCUGGGACAGCCUAUUCACUCUAUACGUGAUCAAAAUAUCAUUUUUCUUCCCUUAUGUGUUUCUUGCUCUUUUAUUCUGGAUGCCCAAAGGAUUUUUUUCUUUAAAGAUCAGUAGUUUUAUAAUUUGCUCUUAGUCAUUGCAAGUCAAUGUUCAUUUUCUCUUUAAUACAAAACUUCAAAGGUUUUUCAUAUUGAAAAAAAUUUGCGCAAUAUUAUUCUCUGUGUAUCCUUGCUGUGGUUUUUCUGUUUCAGGUCCCUCAGUCCUUCAAAUAUCAGAUUUCUUAUGAUUAUACUUCACUUUUGACACAAUCAUUAACAAUUAAUAAUUUCUUUCUUUUUUGUCUUUUUAGUGUCACACAUGCAGCAUAUAGAAGUUCCCAGGCUAGGGGUCAAAGUGGAACUGUAGUUGCCGGCCUGUGCCACAGACACAGUAACACAGCAUCCAAGUUGUGUUUGUGACCUACACCAGAGCUCACAGCAAUGCCGGAUCCUUAACCCAGUGAGCAAGGCCAGGGAUUGAGCCUGCAUCAUCACAGAUACUAGUCAGGUUCAUUACCCCUGAGCCACGAUGGGAACUCCUAGAAUUUGUUGAUUAAUUUCAUUCCCAGGAGUGUUUUAAAACAGUGUUUAAACUUACCUCCUUUGGAGUUCCUGUCGUGGAGCAGCGUAAUCAAAUCUGACUAGGAACCAUGAGGUUGCGGGUUUGAUCUAUGGCCUUGCUCAGCAGGUUAAGGAUCUGACAUUGCCGUGAGUUGUAGUAUAGGUCACAGACGAGGUUCAGAUCUCAUGUUGCUGUGGCUAUUCCCAUGUUACUGUGGCUGUGAGGCAGGCCAGCAAAAAAGGAAUAUUCACUAGUAGCUAUUGCAUGAGGUGAAAUGUAAAUUGGAUGCAUUAUUAGGCAAUAUUGUAUGUAAUAUAUCUUAAGAAUGGAGUAUCCUCAAAAAAAAAAAAAAAAAAAAAAGAUCCAGCAACUUCAUUCCUUGUAAUUCUGAA